AAUGUUGGGUUAAGUCCCGCAACGAGCGCAACCCUUAUCCUUGUUUGCCAGCACUUCGGGUGGGAACUCCAGGGAGACUGCCGGUGAUAAACCGGAGGAAGGUGGGGACGACGUCAAGUCAUCAUGGCCCUUACGAGUAGGGCUACACACGUGCUACAAUGGCAUAUACAGAGGGCAGCAAGACCGCGAGGUGGAGCGAAUCCCACAAAGUAUGUCGUAGUCCGGAU
rnacentral:rRNA from 1 species